rnacentral:lncRNA from 1 species
UCUAAGGUCUAAAAUUAAUGUGGCUAAAACUUGCAACCCACGCCAAGGCUGUUCAGGCCUGGCAGAGUAAAACUGGACAUGCAUUUAUCAACUGCAAAACCCUAUAGGAGGGAGCCAUGGGCUCAGUCUCCAGCUGCCACACAUACCCUCCAGAUGUCAGCACAGGAUUGCACAGCUCCCACCCUGGGACGCAGCUCACUGUGGCCCUCCUCUACUGCACCAUGCACAAGAUAGCACAAGAAAAGCCAAGGCAGAACCCAGGGGAGUGGCUGGCAGCUGUUCAAAGACCAGUCUCUGGAAUAUCUGACAAUGUUGAGCACAAGUGUCCAGGAAAAAGAAAAACAGGUGUGCCUGCAAGACGUUACCAGAUUGCACACAAUGAUGAAGGCAAGGAGUGGGACACCACUAAAUUACAUUCAAAGGCACCCAUCUGAAGAAUCCUCGUUUCUAAAAGCAGGAGCUGUUCUGCCUGUUUGCAGUUUUAGGGACACUAAAACAGUCAUAGUGCCACUGCCAGUUAUAGUGGACACUACCAAUUUCUCCACAGCAAACUCAUGUUAUUCACUCGUUUUUAAAUAAUGGACUUUGAUGGGGAUGCAACAAUGGUUGAGGUGCUGGCAAGCACUGAAACAAAUCAAAAGACCUACAGAUGCAGAAGUUCCCACAAAGUUUUUGCAUGUUUGGAUAAUCUUUGGUUAAACAAGUCUUCCAUAAAAAGAAAAUUUCAAUGUAUUCAGUGAAUGCUUGAAAUAACAAUUGCCUAUGUUCUUACUGUCCAGGAGCGUAAACAAACAAACAGCCAAUUUACAUUUCCCCUAUUACCUUCAGCAAAACCUCUUCUAAAACCAAGUCUCCCAGCCCCUGAUUGCAUCUUGAAUUUCAAUAUUACAAGACAGAUCUAGACUGUGGAAGGGGGAAGAGUUAUGAGUAACUAUUUUAUGAGCUCCUUCUCUUUGAACCUUGCCUCACACACUGUUCACCAGUCACACAGCCUUGCCUCUGAGCUUCUUUGUCAGAAUAUAAUGGGCAGAAGUUGGAAGCACAGCUCAGUUCAUUGUAAGCACUGUGUAAACCUCCAGGGUAAUUGAAAUGAUACAUAUUGCAGGAGUUGUUUGAAUAAAAGAAUAUCCAAAAAGAAAAGAGCA